rnacentral:rRNA from 1 species
UGGGGAAUAUUGCACAAUGGGCGAAAGCCUGAUGCAGCAACGCCGCGUGAGUGAUGAAGGCCUUCGGGUUGUAAAGCUCUGUCUUUUGGGACGAUAAUGACGGUACCAAAGGAGGAAGCCACGGCUAACUACGUGCCAGCAGCCGCGGUAAUACGUAGGUGGCAAGCGUUGUCCGGAUUUACUGGGCGUAAAGGAUGCGUAGGCGGAUUUUUAAGUGAGAUGUGAAAUACCCGGGCUUAACUUGGGUGCUGCAUUUCAUACUGGAAAUCUAGAGUGCGGGAGAGGAGAAUGGAAUUCCUAGUGUAGCGGUGAAAUGCGUAGAGAUUAGGAAGAACACCAGUGGCGAAGGCGAUUCUCUGGACCGUAACUGACGCUGAGGCAUGAAAGCGUGGGUAGCAAACAGGAUUAGAUACCCUGGUAGUCCACGCCGUAAACGAUGAGUACUAGGUGUAGGAGGUAUCGACCCCUUCUGUGCCGCAGUUAACACAAUAAGUACUCCGCCUGGGAAGUACGAUCGCAAGAUUAAAACUCAAAUGAAUUGACGGGGUCAUAGCUGUUUCC